rnacentral:lncRNA from 1 species
UUUCCUUAAUUUCACCCCUCAGAUUCUGUCACACACUGGCAAAAACAUAUUGGCAUUUUGGGGGAAGGGAUCCACUGAGGCGACACUUUUGGUGUAUCAAGUAUAUAAGGUUUGCACUCAAGACUGACAUUUACCGUAAUGGAAGCUGUUCAUAUGCCCCCAGGAAAGAAUGAACAAUUUAAUAGAAAAUGCUAAAGGAGUGAUAUUAGGGGGAGUUCCAUGUCUCCAGACCUUGUGCUGAUGAUCUCUGCCCUGCACAGUACGUUGCUGCUCAUUUCCAGAAGAGACCAAGAUAACUUCUCAGACUUCUCAAAUCUACUUGCCCUACUUGACAACACAUGUUGGCUGGGCUGACUGGAUCAAGAUUCUAUAAGCAGGAUCCUCACGGUUUCAAGUCCUUGCUGUUUUGGAUGAGACAGAGGCUAUUUCCUGCUCCCAUAACCACUCACUUCUUGCUGUGAAGCUUUCCUAGGCUGUUCUUGCUAAUACUAACAAAAUUAAUUAUGCUUAUCUGAUGACAAGUAUACAACCUAAAAUGCCAUCUUUAUAAAUAAGGCAAUAUUCAAUGGAGUGUGAUUUAUGGCCUUUCAUUUUUCCUAUACACCCUAUGUGCCAUAUAAAAUCUGGCUUUACAGUUUCAUAGAGGCUAUAAUCCCUUUCAGAGGGAAUAAAUCAUUUCCAAACAUAAUAUAAAAUAAGGAGUUAUA